rnacentral:rRNA from 1 species
UGGGGAAUUUUGGACAAUGGGGGAAACCCUGAUCCAGCCAUCCCGCGUGUGCGAUGAAGGCCUUCGGGUUGUAAAGCACUUUUGGCAGGAAAGAAACGUCGCGGGUUAAUACCCCGCGAAACUGACGGUACCUGCAGAAUAAGCACCGGCUAACUACGUGCCAGCAGCCGCGGUAAUACGUAGGGUGCAAGCGUUAAUCGGAAUUACUGGGCGUAAAGCGUGCGCAGGCGGUUCGGAAAGAAAGAUGUGAAAUCCCAGAGCUUAACUUUGGAACUGCAUUUUUAACUACCGGGCUAGAGUGUGUCAGAGGGAGGUGGAAUUCCGCGUGUAGCAGUGAAAUGCGUAGAUAUGCGGAGGAACACCGAUGGCGAAGGCAGCCCCCUGGGAUAACACUGACGCUCAUGCACGAAAGCGUGGGGAGCAAACAGGAUUAGAUACCCUGGUAGUCCACGCCCUAAACGAUGUCAACUAGCUGUUGGGGCCUUCGGGCCUUGGUAGCGCAGCUAACGCGUGAAGUUGACCGCCUGGGGAGU